GAAAUUAAAGAUAAAAUAAAAAGAUAAAUCUAUGAAACAAUUAUUUUGUCUAUAUACCAAAAGGGUUAGUUUUCUUGUGUUUAGU
rnacentral:sRNA from 1 species